rnacentral:rRNA from 1 species
UACGUAGGGACCGAGCGUUUGUCCGGAAUCAUUGGGCGUAAAGAGCGUGUAGGCGGCCACUUAAGUCCUGCGUGAAAUCUUGCGGCUCAACCGCAAGCGGUCGUGGGAAACUGGGUGGCUAGAGUGCGGGAGAGGAGAGUGGAAUUCCUGGUGUAGCGGUGGAAUGCGCAGAUAUCAGGAAGAACACCCGUGGCGAAGGCGGCUCUCUAGUACGGUACUGACGCUGAGACGCGAAGCGUGGGGGAGCGAACAGG